rnacentral:rRNA from 1 species
UACGGGAGGUGCGAGCGUUGUUCGGAAUGACUGGGCGUAAAGCGCACGUAGGCGGGUCUUUAAGUCGCAUGUGAAAGCCCUAGGCUUAACCUGGGAAUUGCAUACGAAACCGUAGAUCUUGAAUGCUUGAGAGGUUCAUGGAAUUCUUGGUGUAGGAGUGAAAUCCGUAGAUAUCAAGAGGAACACCAGAGGCGAAGGCGGUGAACUGGCGAUGCAUUGACGCUGAGGUGCGAAAGCGUGGGUAGCAAACAGG